GAAAUGCGAUAAGUAGUGUGAAUUGCAGAAUUCAGUGAAUCAUCGAAUCUUUGAACGCACAUUGCGCCCCUUGGUAUUCCAUGGGGCAUGCCUGUUCGAGCGUCAUUUGUACCCUCAAGCUCUGCUUGGUGUUGGGUGUUUGUCCCGUCUCCGCGCGUGGACUCGCCCCAAAGUGAUUGGCAGCCGGCGUACUGGUCCCGGAGCGCAGCACAUGUCGCGCAAACGAGUGCCUUGGUACGGCGGCGUCCAUAAGCUACACCCACCCAGUUUGACCUCGGAUCAGGUAGGGAUACCCGCUGAACUUAAGC
rnacentral:misc_RNA from 1 species